GUGCGUCCGAGUUCGUGCAUAGCUUCCGUGUUUACCUUUGACCCGUUGCCCUUCCAUGCUUGUGUCCAUGUUGACAUGACUCCUAACCCUUUAGUAAGUCUAGAUGAUCAAGAAAUCACUAACAUGCAUGAGCAAUGGCCAUGAUUAGGGCUUCAAUUGGCUGAAUUUGUGUGAUUAGAAGGGUUCCCCUUCUUCUCUGGCUCUGGCGUCGAACACACACAC
rnacentral:lncRNA from 1 species